rnacentral:hammerhead_ribozyme from 1 species
AUCCAUCUGACGAGUCCAGAAUCGGAGGAAACGUGCGUCAAACUGGAU